UAAAAUGCGUUGACAGGGAGAAAGCACUGCCAUAGCGUGUUCCAGAGAGCUGUUGGUUGCUGCAAAACAGUACACGGGCAGGUUGCGAGCUCGCCCUUGAGCAGUCAGCUGAAAGCCUGAAAAGCUUUUUAAUUUUCGGGCAAGUAGGUGUGAACGGGUUUCUCGCCGUUACAACGAGAAGGCAUUGAUUUGGGUAUAUAUUCUGUUUCGAUGCCGCAAAGGGGGUAUUUUUAUACCAAGAAGAGUGGUACCACGGAAGAAACUGGCUUUCGUCUCUGAC
rnacentral:ncRNA from 1 species